CACCCCCCGCGCCUCUCCGGUUUCCUGAGCUGCGGGCUACAAGGGAGGAGAAGCGGCGUCUUGCAACCCCCUCGGCUGGGCCCCGGGGUAAUUCGAUGCGGGCCUGGCGAGGCUCCCCACGCUAGACCCGGGCUCGCGUCUCGGCAGCCUCCACCCACCGGCCCACCCUACAUUUAGCGCAUCAUGUGAUCCGGGAUCAAUGUGACUCUAGAAACAAAUGGAUGAAUGAAUAUCCAUAUGAAAAGGAAAACAAUAAAGAAUACUAUGAGAUGCCAGGAUUGAGCACAGUUGUUUUAUACCGCCUUUGACUGGGAGAACUAGUAUCAGCUGGACUGCUAAGCCCCAUAUCUUAUUUGGCAAGUACGAAUGUCCAGAGUACCAUUCUGAUCCAGUGCACGUGUAACUGAUCAACAGCCAGCUAAUCUGAUGGUUAAUUUGGCUUUAAUUGAUACAGUUUACUCAUAUGAAAUAAGUAGCAUAGGUA
rnacentral:lncRNA from 1 species